CUGUCUUUCAGUCAUGAACGAAGGAGGAGCUGGUCAGGAGCUGGUCACCCCACCCUCCGUGCUCUUGACAGACAGAUCUGCCGAAUCCCUCCCUUUUUGGCCCCUGCACAUCCCCGGGACCCCGGAAGAGCAGCUGGUCACCCUGUCCUGCCCGUUCACACCCGAAACUUCAAAUGAAGCUGUCUUCUGGGCCCUGCCUGUCAUGGACGAAGUCCCCAGGGCCCCGGAAGGAGCGGAUGUGUAAAGUUAAUUUAAUUUUGUGUGUAUAUUGUUUUUGAUACAUUUUUAUAUUUUUUGUGUGAAUUGUUAUAAGUUUUUGAAAAUUUGUUCCGAGAUAAUGUGUGCUUUUAAAGGUGUUUUGUUAUUUAUAUUUAUAGUGUGUUUUAAUAAAAUAGUUUUCUAGAUUUUCCACUUCUCAUUUAUUCAGAGCUGACCAAAUAAUUGCAGGGCAGCACCACACAUUCACCAGGCUCCAUGUUCAUUCCACUGGAAUGAAUCUCUGCAUCAUUUGCAAAACAGAAAAGGACUCCGGUUAACCAAUGUAUUUCAUGGCUGUUUACAUUCACAUACCUAAAAACACUGGAAAAAACAGACAUUGUUUUUUAAAUGCUUUUUAAAAUUAUAUUAAACGUUUAUGGAAGUAUGGAGAGUACAAAGCAAAGACAAAAAUGAAAUGCAUUCCGCAUCUAACCACAGUUACAGAUGUGAACAUAAUUGAAUAAAAGUAUCCCUGGGCAAAAACAAUACACUUACAUAAAGUGCUAUAUGUUAACUGUGCACUUAAUAACACAACAUGGAUAUGAAUUCAAAUGUGCCACAACUCUAUUUAAAACUUAAUUAGUAUUUUAAAAGGCUAAUUGAGCACUUUAUUAAAAAUGAUGCAUAUUAUACUCGUCAUUAUGUUAAAUAAACUGUAGAGGUGAUGAUUUUAUCACAUAAAGAGUGGUUUGGUAGCCUGGGUGCCAGCAGAUCUUAGCCCCGCCCACAACAUUUUGAGAA